ACAUGCUGACAAGGAUCAGUAAAGAUUCUGGAAUUGUGAGGAUGCUGGAACUCUAGAGUUCAUUUGUGCCAUGUGAAUGUGGUUUUUUUUUUCUUUUCUUUUUUAAGAACAGAUGAUCCUGUAAUGGAGCGGCACGAUGGUGCUGUGGGUAGCACUGUCGCCUCUCAGGAAGAUGGUCCUGUGUUCUACCCCUGUCCACGUGGGUUUCCUCCGGGUACUCCGGUUUCCUCUCACAAUCCAAAGACAUGCAGAUAGAGUCCAGCAUCCACUCCCCUGAUGCUGACCAACCCCACAGCCAGGCUGAUGAAUUCCAAAAUCCCUGAGGAACACAGAACAGAACUUUGGACACCGUUGACGCCCCCACCACUCUCACCGAAUCUGCUAUGGUCUUGCCUGGUCCCUUGUACAGUGGCAUUGGGAAAUAUCUCCAGAUGGAAACCCGUCCGGCAGUACAGCUGUCGCCGCCGUAGAAUACCCU